ensembl:lncRNA
UUUUUGCACAAGCUUUGAACCCUGCGGCUUUUAGUCAGGUGCGGCUUUUCUAUGGAUUGUCCAUGAUUUUUGUCAUAUCGUAAGACGAUUUGUUUUGUUUGUUCCGCUGUUGUACGGCACUACGUUGCCUGGCGGAAGGGCAUGUGAUCAGACACAAAGUAUCGGGGUUCAAGAGUGGUAUGUUGGUCACAUGUCCAUCCGCCAGGCAACAUAGUGCCGUACGAAGUAGCGCGAAAAACAAACUUCAAAGUAGCGCUACGCGUUCAGCGGGAGGCGUGGAUGACGAGCGGCGAUAAACUUGCGAAAAGCAAGUUAUGCUCAACUCCACCGGUGGAUUCUGACAGCGUGGAAAAGUGUGAAAACAUCCAUGAUCACCAACGGAUUUCGAAGGGCUGGACUGCUGCAGGAUGGAGAGGAGGACACCGCCACGGCCCUUCUGAGGGUGUUCUACUCCGACACUGACAACGAGGAUUUGUUUGGUUUUGAAAGUGACAACGAAGGAAAGAAGCUGAGAGUGGAUGACGUAGCCAUCCCGAGCCUGUUCGUAUCCGACACUGGAGAAGAGGACUUUGGUGGUUUUAGUACGCAGGAAGAUCGUGGUGAAUGACUGACUUUUCUUCUUGUUAAAGCCGUGUCACUGCACCUGAGCCUAAAAGCAGACUACAGAAUGAAUCCCCUCAACGGAGCCCGCUCUUCAGCAGAUGUCCAAGUUGUCACAGUUCAUUUUUUCAUAAUUGGUAGUUCAACCUCAGGGGAACAGCUAGACAUGAAGGGAGUGAGGGCACAGGACUAGAGGAGCGUUAGACAAGAGAGGGCAAACUGAGGAAAGGAGGGUUGGAUGAGCAGGGAAACAAGUGGAGGGGGGUUAGAGACGAGAAGAGAGAAAGGAGCCAUCAGCCAAUAUUUUAACAGGGCUGGCCUGGCAUUUAGAUGGCCGGGUAUCAGAGCAGAUGGUUUAAACAUUCACGGUGGGUACCAUAUUAGCAAGCAACAAGCAUAGCACACUGAGGCUUAAAGCACUGCAAAGUGUUCUCUGCUGGUACACUUUGCCAUGAGAUAUGAGUUACUGGGUUUAAUAGAUUGAUACAGUGGUGACCAUCCUUUCUACAGGAGUAAUGUGUGGGGUACAGCGUGUCCUGGGUCUGCCCCGGGGCCUCCUCCCGGUGGGACAUGCCUGGAACUCCUCACCCAGGAGGAAUCCUUGUCAGAUGCCGAACCACCUCAACUGGUUCCAUUCGAUGUGGAGGAGCAGCGCCUCUGAACCCCUCCCGGAUGGUCGAACUCCUCAUUUCAGCCAGUGGCUAACUGACCAGCUGACUGGAAGCCAAUGAUUUCACAACCAUUGCCUGUCAGAAAAAAAACAACACACUGCAUGAUGUUUAACAACCCGGCUACGGCACUUUGUACAAAAGUAAGCCAAGAGGAACAGAGAGGAAGAUGAUCUGACUCUGAUGAUCCGUGGCCCAUGCUUUCUGGACAUUUACAC